CUUAAGUUACAGAAACUGAAAAAUAAAACAUAGCUAAGAAUUUUAUUCAAUAACAUCACACAAAAAUUUCAACCUUUUAUUUGUACAGCAAAACUGAAAAAAGCUACAAACAGUUGAAACCUUUUUUACUAACACGUUGCCAAUUACAAGCACGUGCACAACUCUUUAACGUAGUUGUAUGUAGUAUUUUUAUCCAUUAUUAACAUUAAAGAAGCUUGGGUCUAUCUGUGAUGUAAAUGCCUUCAGAAUAAAUUUGGACACAAAAUAACAAACAUGCUACCUACAAAUACUAUGACAACCAUAUUUAUGGUAUUGGCGCUGAUUUAUUGUUCAAUGGCCUGCGAGGGGCACGACAGCCCAUGUAUGGUUUUCAAGGCAGUUGUUGCGGAGGCAUGCUUUGUCUGAAGAAUGACCCUUCUUGAAAACAAGGACGCUGUUACUAUUAUGCUGAAAAAAUAUGAAACAUCCCGUGCAGAAAUUGCCCAACGAGUUAUUUCCGAGUUCCGAUCUGGGCCCGAUCGGAUUUUCCACAUGUGGCCCCAAGGGGGCAGAUGAUGUGGCUCGCAUCUAGGCCACGUCAGAUCGUGUUAGGUUAGACAAGAUUAUGUAAAGUUUUCAUUAUUGUCGUAAUAUUGUUUUUCUUUCAUAGAACUUAAAAUGCCAAAAGACAAAAGGAAUAAAUUAAUUGUUAGUGAGAUUUCUUAUAUCCGCAAUAAGACAAAGGUAAGCUUUAAUUCGCUAUAAUCAACAUCGCAAUUCAUUUUUAUCUUCUGAAGAUUUCCAGCAAUGUAUUCGAGAAAGCGUCGUCAUUUUUAACGCAUUUA